UUACUGAACAAGAGGCAAGAGUAGCAGUAAAACUAGGAAAGAAUUGAAAGCUAAUGGCCUGAUGAUGUUUAAUAAAAGCCAGUGGUGCUGUUUGGUGCAGCGGAGGUGCAGCAGAGGUGCAGCUGGAGGUCCCAACCAUUCAACCAUGUCUGAGCACAGAUAGUAAAACUUCAGUCCUGUAACAGCAAGACUUGCAUCAGUGCUUGAGAUGGUUAGACAAUAAAGUUAAAUUAAACAUAAAUAUUUGAUCAUAAUUCUGGACAUUUGGUUGAUAGGAACAACCAAGCGACUGUUCAUAUAUGUUUUGUUCACUGCAGUUUGACACAUUAAACAGCAUGAGGCCCACACAUAUUAGUCCUUUAUGAAUAAGCUGUGGAGAUGCACCCAGUAGAAGUUUAGUCAGGAUAAAGACACAUGGAGGCAAAGACCCUGAAUAAAGUUAGCUCCAGUUCACCAUCAGCAGCCUGGGCUGGUCUCACACCAGCCAGAACAUUAAUAAACUCAAAGAACAACCUGCUCCCAUUCUGUCCUCUGAGGAUCGCCAGCAUACAACUGUUUGUUUUAUGAGGACUGCUCUUUUCUCACUUUAUUCUAUUAUUCAUGUUCAUCGAUGGGUACUACUCAUACUUAGUCAGGAUGGGAAAUCACAGAUGAAAUUUCUGCUGAAUUCAAAUCUGCGGCUGGUAGGUUUGUCUUCUCCACCACUUUGACAGGAAGCUCCGCAUUUGAAGGAAAGAUCCAGAUGGGUCACUGUGGCCUGUGGACAGAGAUGCCACUUUCCCACCCUGUUUAGUUGAACUUGAGGUUGCACUUGAUUUUGUUUGUGCCAAGUUUGAUUUUGUGUGUGUGUGUGUGUGUGUGUGUGUGUGUGUGUGUGUGUGUGUGUGUGUGUGUGUAUAUAUGAGUGAGACAACCCCCCUAAUGAGUUAUUGAUUUCUUCAUAUAAAGGCAAUAUAGGUACAAAUAAGAUGCAGUCUUUUGCAGCUGAUGAUGCAGUAACUUCCAGAAUCAUUAACAUGCCAACAUGUGAUUUUAAACUGGCCAAAAUAAAAAAAACUUAAUGUAAUGAGCGAUAAUGUACUAGAACCCUAUUAUAACAUUACUUUGUAAGUGUUAUACAAUUUUCAACUCAUGGUUUAUUUAUAACCACAAUUUAUAUUAUUGCUUGAGAUAAAAAAAAAAAAGACCUCUACAGUUCAACAAGCCGAAUACAGUAAUGGCAGUUAAUAUCUCACUGCAUUAUGUUGCUAUUGAUCACAUUAAGAGGUUAUAUUAUACCUACAAUAAGAUUGACGUUUUAUAUUUUUGACAAGUUAUUACACUUUGUGGAAGUUCUGGCUUCAGCUGCUACACGCAAGCAUCACACAAUUAGCAAUAAUGUUUCUAGCAUAGAUGCCUGUUUAUAGUUAAUACAAGUAAUUUGUAGGUAAGGAGACCUCUGUAAAGCCUGUUCUCAUCCAUUUUAAACAGGUUUUUUUUUCUUGACUUCACCAGAUUAUGACAGAAUGCUACCAGCCAUUUAUCAUGCAUAAAGAAAAUGCGAAGGCCAUCAGCUCCUCACGGUUGAAACACUUUGCUUCAAAACAGCCUUAUUAACUAACGUAUGUUUCUGUUGUUUCCAUAUACAUAUAAUAAAGUAAGGCCCAACAUUCCGCCCUGGUAUCUGACCUCUCUAUUGAGAAGUUGUGGGGGCAACAGAGGACGCUUUUUGGGAUUAUUGCACUUACACUUAAGAGUGUAACAGCACAUUUAAGGUAUACUACUGUGCUGUAGUUUACAAUAGAAUGUAAAUUAGACCAUUAAUAUUAUUUUGUAUUAACAGGUUAAAGAAGGAAUCCACCUUAUAUUUGAGACUAUUUAGGGACCUGCUGGUGAUGUAUAUAUUCUGUUCAAAUAUGCCCGUUCAUACCCCUUAUUGGGGGGGAGGGGAUAUCAGAAUACAUUCUGGGAAAUGCUGAAAUCACCAGCUGAAGCACAAAUAGUAGAUGCCGGUUAAGGGAGAUCAAAAAACAAAACAUUGCAAUAAACAAUGUUUGACUAUCAGUGGGUGGAUUCCUCCUUAUGUACACUGGAAUAAGGCCUUUUUAAAACCUGUCACAAGCUACAGCUGAGAGAACGGAGUACCAAAGAUGCACCAGUCAUGCUAAACCCACAUCAACUGGAAAAAAACAUCUGCAUAAUAGUUCAUCUCAAUCAGAUUCUUAAAUUUUAAUGUACGUUUUGAGUUUAACUGCUCAGUCUAAAACAUUUCAGCACUACUCAAAAUACCUCAGAAUAUUUCAUUUAGUUUCAUUGAAGUAUUGGUAAGUGAGAAUUCAAGGCUAUGAUUUUUGUUUCACAAGAAUACAAAUUUGAGAAGAGCAGGUGUUUGUAUGGAAUUUGACAGUGCGCUAAGUUCCUUAUAUAUUUGUAUAGAACUGUUCAACAUUAAAACUCAGUCAUACAGUCACUGCUGUCGUUUUUGUGAGUCAUCCACUACCAGCUGCCUGAGGUUUAUUACGGUAUUGCAGCGAUGCAGUUCGGACACACGAUAUUGUGCCGCACAGUGCCAUCAAUUCAGACUAACACAACCAGCAUGUGCUAUUUUG